GUUUUACAAAGGCAUACGCGAACCCUCCUUAACCUUCCCUUAGUGCAUUUAGCUUUGGAAGAUACUAUUGUUUCAAACUUUCUCUCUCUCUCUCUCUCUCUCUCUCUCUCUCUCUCUCUCUCUCUCUCUCUCUCUCUCUCUCUCUCUCUCUCUC